AUAUGUAGCCACACCCCCCUGAGAACGCCCCAUCUCAUGUGAUCUGGGAAGCUAAGCAGGGUCGGCCCCGGUCAGCGCUUGGAUGGGAGACCAGCUGGGUCAGAUUGGUUCUCCUGCC
rnacentral:rRNA from 1 species